AACGCACAUUGCGCCCUUUGGCAUUCCGAAGGGCAUGCCUGUUCGAGCGUCAUUAUCAACCUUCAAACCUCGGGUUUGGUGUUGAGCCCAGGUCCUCGCGCCGCGAGUGACCGGCUUCAAAGAUAAUGACGGCGUCCGUGGGACCCUCGGUGCAACGAGCUUUUUCCAAAGCACGCGUCGAAGCGGAUCCGCGGGGGCUGGUCUCCAAGAUGUGUGUACCCACACACUUCUCAUCUCAAGGUUGACCUCGGAUCAGGUAGGGAUACCCGCUGAACUUAA
rnacentral:misc_RNA from 1 species